rnacentral:tRNA from 1 species
GGGCCGCUAGCUCAGUUGGUAGAGCAAUCGCCUCUUAAGCGAUGGGUCCAGGGUUCGAGCCCCUGGCGGCCCACCA